GACGCACGGGUGANUAAUACAUANGAACGUACCNUUCGGNGGGGAAUAACCACGGGAAACUGNGGCUAAUACCGCAUAAUAUCGCANGAUUANNGGGGGCCUCUGCNUAUGCUCUCNCCGAUUGAUCNGCCUAUGUCCCAUUANCUUGUUGGNAGGGUAAUGGCCUACCAAGGCAGUGAUGGGUANCUGGUCUGANAGGAUGAUCANCCNCACUGGGACUGANACACGGCCCAGACUCCUACNGGAGGCANCNNUGGGGAAUCUUGCACAAUGGGCGCAAGCCUGAUGCANCAACGCCGCGUGAGUGAAGAAGGCUCUUGGGUUGUAAAGCUCUUUCNACUANGAAGAAGGGUGCAGCGGUUAAUACCCGCANCAUUUGACGGUACUAGCAGAAGAAGCACCGGCUAAUUCCGUGCCNGCANCCGCGGUAAUACGGAAGGUGCAAGCGUUGUUCGGAUUGACUGGGCGUAAAGCGCACGUAGGCGGGUUUGUAAGUCGGAUGUGAAAGCCCCGGGCUUAACCUGGGAACUGCACCCGAAACUAUAAAUCUUGAAUGCCUGAGAGGUUGGUAGAAUUCCAGGUGUAGGAGUGAAAUCCGUAGAUAUCUGGAGGAACAUCGGAGGCGAAGGCGGCCAACUGGCGGUGCAUUGACGCUGANGUGCGAAAGCGUGGGGAGCAAACAGGAUUANAUACCCCGGUAGUCCACGCCGUAAACUAUGGAUACUANGUGUUUGGGAAAUUAACCUCCUGAGUACUAAAGCUAACGCAUUAAGUAUCCCGCCUGGGGAGNACGGUCGCAAGGCUAAAACUCAAANGAAUUNACGGGNGCCCGC
rnacentral:rRNA from 1 species